UUAAGUUAUUAAGGGCGCACGGUGGAUGCCUUGGCACUAGAAGCCGAUGAAGGACGUUACUAACGACGAUAUGCUUUGGGGAGCUGUAAGUAAGCUUUGAUCCAGAGAUUUCCGAAUGGGGAAACCCAGCAUGAGUUAUGUCAUGUUAUCGAUAUGUGAAUACAUAGCAUAUCAGAAGGCACACCCGGAGAACUGAAACAUCUUAGUACCCGGAGGAAGAGAAAGAAAAUUCGAUUCCCUUAGUAGCGGCGAGCGAAACGGGAAGAGCCCAAACCAACAAGCUUGCUUGUUGGGGUUGUAGGACACUCUAUACGGAGUUACAAAGGACGACAUUAGACGAAUCAUCUGGAAAGAUGAAUCAAAGAAGGUAAUAAUCCUGUAGUCGAAAAUGUUGUCUCUCUUGAGUGGAUCCUGAGUACGACGGAGCACGUGAAAUUCCGUCGGAAUCUGGGAGGACCAUCUCCUAAGGCUAAAUACUCUCUAGUGACCGAUAGUGAACCAGUACCGUGAGGGAAAGGUGAAAAGCACCCCGGAAGGGGAGUGAAAUAGAACCUGAAACCGUGUGCUUACAAGUAGUCAGAGCCCGUUAAUGGGUGAUGGCGUGCCUUUUGUAGAAUGAACCGGCGAGUUACGAUUUGAUGCAAGGUUAAGCAGUAAAUGUGGAGCCGUAGCGAAAGCGAGUCUGAAUAGGGCGUUUAGUAUUUGGUCGUAGACCCGAAACCAGGUGAUCUACCCUUGGUCAGGUUGAAGUUCAGGUAACACUGAAUGGAGGACCGAACCGACUUACGUUGAAAAGUGAGCGGAUGAACUGAGGGUAGCGGAGAAAUUCCAAUCGAACCUGGAGAUAGCUGGUUCUCUCCGAAAUAGCUUUAGGGCUAGCCUCAAGUGAUGAUUAUUGGAGGUAGAGCACUGUUUGGACGAGGGGCCCCUCUCGGGUUACCGAAUUCAGACAAACUCCGAAUGCCAAUUAAUUUAACUUGGGAGUCAGAACAUGGGUGAUAAGGUCCGUGUUCGAAAGGGAAACAGCCCAGACCACCAGCUAAGGUCCCAAAAUAUAUGUUAAGUGGAAAAGGAUGUGGCGUUGCCCAGACAACUAGGAUGUUGGCUUAGAAGCAGCCAUCAUUUAAAGAGUGCGUAAUAGCUCACUAGUCGAGUGACACUGCGCCGAAAAUGUACCGGGGCUAAACAUAUUACCGAAGCUGUGGAUUGUCCUUUGGACAAUGGUAGGAGAGCGUUCUAAGGGCGUUGAAGCAUGAUCGUAAGGACAUGUGGAGCGCUUAGAAGUGAGAAUGCCGGUGUGAGUAGCGAAAGACGGGUGAGAAUCCCGUCCACCGAUUGACUAAGGUUUCCAGAGGAAGGCUGGUCCGCUCUGGGUUAGUCGGGUCCUAAGCUGAGGCCGACAGGCGUAGGCGAUGGAUAACAGGUUGAUAUUCCUGUACCACCUAUAAUCGUUUUAAUCGAUGGGGGGACGCAGUAGGAUAGGCGAAGCGUGCGAUUGGAUUGCACGUCUAAGCAGUAAGGCUGAGUAUUAGGCAAAUCCGGUACUCGUUAAGGCUGAGCUGUGAUGGGGAGAAGACAUUGAGUCUUCGAGUCGUUGAUUUCACACUGCCGAGAAAAGCCUCUAGAUAGAAAAUAGGUGCCCGUACCGCAAACCGACACAGGUAGUCAAGAUGAGAAUUCUAAGGUGAGCGAGCGAACUCUCGUUAAGGAACUCGGCAAAAUGACCCCGUAACUUCGGGAGAAGGGGUGCUCUUUAGGGUUAACGCCCAGAAGAGCCGCAGUGAAUAGGCCCAAGCGACUGUUUAUCAAAAACACAGGUCUCUGCUAAACCGUAAGGUGAUGUAUAGGGGCUGACGCCUGCCCGGUGCUGGAAGGUUAAGAGGAGUGGUUAGCUUCUGCGAAGCUACGAAUCGAAGCCCCAGUAAACGGCGGCCGUAACUAUAACGGUCCUAAGGUAGCGAAAUUCCUUGUCGGGUAAGUUCCGACCCGCACGAAAGGCGUAACGAUUUGGGCACUGUCUCAACGAGAGACUCGGUGAAAUCAUAGUACCUGUGAAGAUGCAGGUUACCCGCGACAGGACGGAAAGACCCCGUGGAGCUUUACUGUAGCCUGAUAUUGAAAUUCGGCACAGCUUGUACAGGAUAGGUAGGAGCCUUUGAAACGUGAGCGCUAGCUUACGUGGAGGCGCUGGUGGGAUACUACCCUAGCUGUGUUGGCUUUCUAACCCGCACCACUUAUCGUGGUGGGAGACAGUGUCAAGCGGGCAGUUUGACUGGGGCGGUCGCCUCCUAAAAGGUAACGGAGGCGCUCAAAGGUUCCCUCAGAAUGGUUGGAAAUCAUUCAUAGAGUGUAAAGGCAUAAGGGAGCUUGACUGCGAGACCUACAAGUCGAGCAGGGUCGAAAGACGGACUUAGUGAUCCGGUGGUUCCGCAUGGAAGGGCCAUCGCUCAACGGAUAAAAGCUACCCCGGGGAUAACAGGCUUAUCUCCCCCAAGAGUUCACAUCGACGGGGAGGUUUGGCACCUCGAUGUCGGCUCAUCGCAUCCUGGGGCUGUAGUCGGUCCCAAGGGUUGGGCUGUUCGCCCAUUAAAGCGGUACGCGAGCUGGGUUCAGAACGUCGUGAGACAGUUCGGUCCCUAUCCGUCGUGGGCGUAGGAAAUUUGAGAGGAGCUGUCCUUAGUACGAGAGGACCGGGAUGGACAUACCUCUGGUGUACCAGUUGUCGUGCCAACGGCAUAGCUGGGUAGCUAUGUGUGGACGGGAUAAGUGCUGAAAGCAUCUAAGCAUGAAGCCCCCCCUCAAGAUGAGAUUUCCCAACUUCGGUUAUAAGAUCCCUCAAAGAUGAUGAGGUUAAUAGGUUCGAGGUGGAAGCAUGGUGACAUGUGGAGCUGACGAAUACUAAUCGAUCGAAGACUUAAUCAA
rnacentral:rRNA from 1 species